AUUGAACGCUGGCGGCAGGCUUAACACAUGCAAGUCGAACGAGUGGCGGACGGGUGAGUAAUGGGUGGGAAUCUAGCUUAUGGAGGGGGAUAACUACGGGAAACUGUAGCUAAUAACGCGUACCAUAAGAUGAGCCCAAGGGGGAUUAGGUAGUUGGUGAGGUAACGGCUCACCAAGCCGACGAGCCCUAGCUGGUCUGAGAGGAGGACCAGCCACACUGGUACUGAGACCCGGUCCAGACUCCUACGGGAGGCAGCAGUGGGGAAUAUUGCGCAAUUGGGGCAACCUGAUGCAGCCAUGCCGCGUGAAUUAAGAAGGCCUUCGGGUUGUAAAGUGCUUUCGGCAGGGAGGCGUUACCUACAGAAGAAGCACCGGCUAACUCCGUGCCAGCCGCCGCGGUAAUAC
rnacentral:rRNA from 1 species